AGGACGAACGCUGGCGGCGUGCUUAACACAUGCAAGUCGAGCGGGGAUAGAUGCUGGAAGGUUUCGGCUGGAAGGUAUAUAUUCUAGUGGCGAACGGGUGAGUAACGCGUGAGAAGCCUGCCUUUCAGUGGGGGGACAACAGUUGGAAACGACUGCUAAUACCGCAUAAUGUACACGGACCGCAUGAUCUGUGUACCAAAGCUUUAUGUGCUGAAAGAUGGUCUCGCGUCUGAUUAGCUAGUUGGUGAGGUAACGGCUCACCAAGGCGACGAUCAGUAGCCGGUCUGAGAGGAUGAACGGCCACAUUGGGACUGAGAUACGGCCCAGACUCCUACGGGAGGCAGCAGUGGGGAAUAUUGGGCAAUGGGGGAAACCCUGACCCAGCAACGCCGCGUGAAGGAAGAAGGCCUUCGGGUUGUAAACUUCUUUUACCAGGGACGAAGAACGUGACGGUACCUGGAGAAAAAGCAACGGCUAACUACGUG
rnacentral:rRNA from 1 species